GACGAACGCUGGCGGCGUGCCUAACACAUGCAAGUCGAGCGGAGAUGAUGUGAGGAAGUUUUCGGAUGGAAUCACAUUAUUUUAGCGGCGGACGGGUGAGUAACGCGUGAGCGACCAACCUUGCACAGGGGGAUAACGGACCGAAAGGUUCACUAAUACCGCAUGAGACCACGGUGUUGCAUGACACAGAGGUCAAAGGAGCAAUCCGGUGCAAGACGGGCUCGCGUCCGAUUAGGUAGUUGGAGGGGUAACGGCCCACCAAGCCUAUGAUCGGUAGCCGACCUGAGAGGGUAAUCGGCCACAUUGGAACUGAGAUACGGUCCAAACUCCUACGGGAGGCAGCAGUGGGGAAUAUUGGGCAAUGGGGGAAACCCUGACCCAGCAACGCCGCGUGAAGGAAGAAGGUUUUCGGAUUGUAAACUUCUGUCCUUGGUGAAGAGAAGAAGACGGUAGCCAAGGAGGAAGCCCCGGCUAACUACGUGCCAGCAGCCGCGGUAAGCAUACUCGUA
rnacentral:rRNA from 1 species